AACGAACGCUGGCGGCAGGCCUAACACAUGCAAGUCGAGCGAAGCCUUCGGGCUUAGCGGCGGACGGGUGAGUAACGCGUGGGAACGUGCCCUUUGGUACGGAAUAGCCCCGGGAAACCGGGAGUAAUACCGCAUGUGGUCGAGAGACGAAAGAUUUAUCGCCGAAGGAUCGGCCCGCGUUGGAUUAGGUAGUUGGUGGGGUAAUGGCCUACCAAGCCGACGAUCCAUAGCUGGUUUGAGAGGAUGAUCAGCCACACUGGGACUGAGACACGGCCCAGACUCCUACGGGAGGCAGCAGUGGGGAAUCUUAGACAAUGGGGGAAACCCUGAUCUAGCCAUGCCGCGUGAUCGAUGAAGGCCUUAGGGUUGUAAAGAUCUUUCAGUGGGGAAGAUAAUGACUGUACCCACAGAAGAGGCCCCGGCUAACUCCGUGCCAGCAGCCGCAGUAAGAC
rnacentral:rRNA from 1 species